rnacentral:rRNA from 1 species
UACGAAGGGUGCAAGCGUUGCUCGGAAUUAUUGGGCGUAAAGGGUACGUAGGUGGUCAUACAAGUCUGGGGUGAAAUCCCUGAGCUCAACUCAGGACGUGCCUUGGAAACUUUAUGACUAGAGUGCUGGAGAGGUCCGCAGAAUUCCCGGUGUAGCGGUGAAAUGCGUAGAGAUCGGGAGGAAUACCAGAGGCGAAGGCGGCGGACUGGACAGUCACUGACACUCAACUACGAAAGCGUGGGUAGCAAACAGG